rnacentral:rRNA from 1 species
UGGCGGACGGGUGAGUAAUGUCUGGGAAACUGCCUGAUGGAGGGGGAUAACUACUGGAACCGGUAGCUAAUACCGCAUAACGUCGCAAGACCAAAGAGGGGGACCUUCGGGCCUCUUGCCAUCGGAUGUGCCCAGAUGGGAUUAGCUAGUAGGUGGGGUAACGGCUCACCUAGGCGACGAUCCCUAGCUGGUCUGAGAGGAUGACCAGCCACACUGGAACUGAGACACGGUCCAG